rnacentral:rRNA from 1 species
UCCCACGUUCGGAUUGCAGUCUGCAACUCGAGUGCAUGAAGCUGGAAUCGCUAGUAAUCGCGCAUCAGCCACGGCGCGGUGAAUACGUUCCCGGGCCUUGUACACACCGCCCGUCAAGCCAUGGGAGCCGGGGGUACCUGAAGUGCGUGACCGCAAGGAGCGCCCUAAGGUAAAACCGGUGACUGGGGCUAAGUCGUAACAAGGUAAC